rnacentral:rRNA from 1 species
CAAAUCUUGACAUCCUUUGACCGCUCUAGAGAUAGAGUCUUCCCCUUCGGGGGACAAAUGACAGGUGGUGCAUGGUUGUCGUCAGCUCGUGUCGUGAGAUGUUGGGUUAAGUCCCGCAACGAGCGCAACCCUUAAGUUUAGUUGCCAUCAUUAAGUUGGGCACUUUAGGUUGACUGCCGGUGACAAACCGGAGGAAGGUGGGGAUGACGUCAAAUCAUCAUGCCCCUUAUGAUUUGGGCUACACACGUGCUACAAUGGAUAAUACAAAGGGCAGCGAAUCCGCGAGGNCAAGCAAAUCCCCAUAAAAUUAUUCUCAGUUCGGAUNGCUAGUCUGCAACUNGNNUACAUGAAGCCNGGAAUCGCUAGUAAUCG